GAUGAAGAACGCAGCGAAAUGCGAUAAGUAAUGUGAAUUGCAGAAUUCAGUGAAUCAUCGAAUCUUUGAACGCACAUUGCGCCCGCCAGUAUUCUGGCGGGCAUGCCUGUUCGAGCGUCAUUACAACCCUCAGGCCCCCGGGCCUGGCGUUGGGGAACGGCGGAGCCCCCCGUGGGCACACGCCGUCCCCCAAAUGCAGUGGCGGUCCCGCCGCAGCUUCCAUCGCGUAGUAGCUAACACCUCGCGACUGGAGAGCGGCGCGGCCACGCCGUAAAACACCCAACUCUUCUGAAGUUGACCUCGAAUCAGGUAGGAAUACCCGCUGAACUUAAGCAUAUCAAUAAGCGGAGGA
rnacentral:misc_RNA from 1 species